rnacentral:rRNA from 1 species
GGUUUGACCUCGGAUCAGGUAGGAAUACCCGCUGAACUUAAGCAUAUCAAUAAGCGGAGGAAAAGAAACCAACAGGGAUUGCCCUAGUAACGGCGAGUGAAGCGGCAACAGCUCAAAUUUGAAAUCUGGCUCUAGGGCCCGAGUUGUAAUUUGUAGAGGAUGCUUUUGGCGCGGUGCCUUCCGAGUUCCCUGGAACGGGACGCCUUAGAGGGUGAGAGCCCCGUACGGUUGGACACUAAGCCUCUGUAAAGCUCCUUCGACGAGUCGAGUAGUUUGGGAAUGCUGCUCUAAAUGGGAGGUAAAUUUCUUCUAAAGCUAAAUACCGGCCAGAGACCGAUAGCGCACAAGUAGAGUGAUCGAAAGAUGAAAAGCACUUUGAAAAGAGGGUUAAAUAGCACGUGAAAUUGUUGAAAGGGAAGCGUUUGCGACCAGACCUUUUCCUAGCGGAUCAUCCGGUGUUCUCACCGGUGCACUUCGCUAGGUUUAGGCCAGCAUCGGUUUCUGCGGGGGGAUAAAAGCUUAGGGAACGUGGCUCCUCCGGGAGUGUUAUAGCCCUUCGCAUAAUACCCUCGCGGGGACCGAGGACCGCGCUUUGGCAAGGAUGCUGGCAUAAUGGUCGUCAACGACCCGUCUUGAAACA